rnacentral:rRNA from 1 species
AGAUAAUAGAUACCCCGGUAGUCCUGGCCGUAAACGAUGACCACCAGAUGCAUGAAGAUUCGACCCUUUGUGUGUCCAAAGCUAACGCGCUAAGUGGUCCGCCUGGGGAGUACGAUCGCAAGAUUAAAACUCAAAGGAAUUGACGGGGACCCGCACAAGCAGCAGAGCGUGUGGUUUAAUUCGAUGCGACGCGCAGAACCUUACCAGGGUUUGACAUGGAUUCGCACCGCCUUGAAAGAGGCGUUCCCGCAAUGGACGUAUCCACAGGUGCUGCAUGGCUGUCGUCAGCUCGUGCCGUGAGGUGUCGGGUUUAAGUUCCAUAACGAGCGCAACCCCUAUCGUUUUUGCAUGUUUUAAACGUAAACUGCCGCCACAAGGCGGAGGAAGGUGGGGAGUGACGUCAAGUCAGCACGGCCCUGACAUCCUGGGCCGACACACACGCUACAAUGGUCGGUACAGAGGGAGACCAACUCGCGAGGGGAGUCAAUCUCAUAAAACUGGUCUCAGUUCGGAUGGCAGGCUGCAACCCGCC